ensembl:lincRNA
UGGACAGAACCAUCAGCAAUCAGAAGCUACAUGAAGACAAAAACGAGGGCGGAGACGCCGCAAGAUAUGCUGUGGAGUCUGGGUGGCCAGUGGCCAAAACUUCCAGACUCCUUCUUCUGGGUGAACGAGGUGACUGGCGAGAUCACACGACCCCCAGGGACGGCAGAGGUGCCCAGCCCACAGGCUGCGAGAGAGGACCUGGGCCCCCGCCAGGCCACCAUGGCCCACACCAUGUCACUACCCAAGGGGACCCUGUUGCCCGCCCAAGAGCACUUUCACCAGGAGCCGAUGAUCCUCCUGAGCCCGAGAGCGUCUGCCCUGCAACACCCAUCUGAGCCUCUUCUUGGGGCACCCCAAUCUGAGCAUCUCCCAGGUGCAGCACACCCUGCAGGGCCUCUGCCUGCCUCCCCAUGGCUGUACGGAAGCAUCCCAAAUGCUCCAAAUCUAAUAUAAAUCCUCCUUAGGUUUUGACACCAAAUGUCUUUCAGAAUCUCCUUACUUCCCAGGCUGUCUUGUUUUUUUUUUUUUUUUUUUUUUUUAAAUCAGAUUUUAUUGGUACCUGUUAGGUGUACAUGAUGAUCACAUUCAUCAUAGACAAUCUGUAUCCGUACAUGAACUGUCUAUAUUUAACAAGGGAAGGUUUAUCUACAGGUAACAAAAUCAGUUGUGUCAUAUUUUCUCCCUGUUCAAAAACCCAGAGAUCCAUAGCACCUGCAAAAACUUGUAUUUCAUCUUGACAAUCACCAUUAGUCACACUAGGCACAGUACUUAUUCCUUUUAAAUUUCGAUCAGCCUUUCCCAGUACAAGACCAACCGUUCCCUCGGGUGGUGAACUGCAAACUCCUGUGGGAACUGGGGUAGGUUUGUCAACCCUGAUAAUAGGAACUCUGCAAGCUGCAGGAAGAUCUAAUCCUGUACUUUGUAUUGUCCCCCUAGUGAGAGAAUUUAUAUACCUCUGGAGAGCCACGUUUCAGGUGGUUGUCUCAUCUGCUGGUGUGUUUGCACUGGAUAAAGCUGACUGACCCUAACAGCAAGACUACAAAAAAGAAAUUUAUUUUACACAGGAAGUGACUAAAAGCAAACCUAUAUGUUUUAUAAAAAUCAAAGGAAAAUGCCUUGAAGUUCUAAUAGACACUGGCACAGAUGUAUCUGUACUUGCAUUAGAACAGUGGCCCACAAUGUGGCCAACACAAAGGGCCCUUACCUCCUUAAUAGGACUCAGAGCUGGGCGUGGUGGCACAUGCCUGUAAUCCCAGCAAUCGGGAGGCUGAGACAGGAGGAUUGUUGUGAGUUCAAGACCAUUCUGGGCUACAAAGUGAGCUCAAGCCCAGCCUGAACUGCAUAGCAAGACCCUGUCUCAAAAAGACCAAAAACAACAACAGAAAAAGCCUGGGAUUCCCCUCAGCAGGUACUACAAAGUGCCUCACCCCUGCCUUAGGAGGGACCAGACCAACAAAAGGGCUUCUUUUUACCAUACAUGGCACCUAUUCUGGUCAAUCUGUGGGGAAGAGAUUUGUUACAAAAGUGGAAAUUAAUAUUGACUAAUGAUUCUAACUUUAAACAAAUUCCAAUUCUGAAAUGAAACAAGUAGAUUCAAAUCCUAGAAUUAAACAAAUGAUGAUUAUUAACAUGGGACAUCAAGAGGAUAGAGGGCUAAGAAAGAACUUACAGGGAGUCAAAAAGCCUGUAAGGAUUGCACCCAAGAAUGACAGGUGUGGUGUUGGAUACCAAUAGGUUCUUUUUUUUUUUUUUUUUUUUUUUUUUUUCCAUUGAGGGCCAUUGAUGCUUCUCCCUCCAAAACAGC